rnacentral:rRNA from 1 species
AGAUUGAACGCUGGCGGCAUGCCUAACACAUGCAAGUCGAACGGGAGUAGCAAUACUCUAGUGGCGGACGGGUGAGGAAUACGUAGGAAUUUGCCCUUAAGUGGGGGAUAACCCGGGGAACCGGAUUAAUACCGCAUGACCUCGAAAGAGCAAAGUGGGGGAUCGCAAGACCUCACGCUUUUGGAGAAGCCUACGUCGGAUUAGCUAGUUGGUGAGGUAAUGGCUCACCAAGGCGACGAUCCGUAACUGGUCUGAGAGGAUGAUCAGUCACACCGGAACUGAGACACGGUCCGACUCCUACGGGAGGCAGCAGUGGGGAAUAG